UACGAAGGGGGCUAGCGUUGCUCGGAAUCACUGGGCGUAAAGGGUGCGUAGGCGGGUUUUUAAGUCAGAGGUGAAAUCCUGGAGCUCAACUCCAGAACUGCCUUUGAUACUGAAAGUCUUGAGUAUGGGAGAGGUGAGUGGAACUGCGAGUGUAGAGGUGAAAUUCGUAGAUAUUCGCAAGAACACCAGUGGCGAAGGCGGCUCACUGGCCCAUAACUGACGCUGAGGCACGAAAGCGUGGGGAGCGAACAGG
rnacentral:rRNA from 1 species